rnacentral:rRNA from 1 species
UACGGGGGGGGCAAGCGUUGUUCGGAAUUACUGGGCGUAAAGGGCGCGUAGGCGGCAUGGCAAGUGGAUGGUGAAAUCCCUCGGCUUAACCGAGGAACUGCCGUCCAAACUGCUUCGCUUGAGACCGGGAGAGGUGAGUGGAAUUCCCAGUGUAGCGGUGAAAUGCGCAGAUAUCAGGAGGAACACCGAUGGCGAAGGCAGCUCGCUGGGACGGUACUGACGCUGAGGCGCGAAAGCGUGGGGAGCAAACAGG